GAAAUACUAAAUCUCUAGUCAUUCUCGACUUCCAUGGCCACCUCGACUCCAGAACUGCAAAACUGAGAAGAUAAGGGGUGAGCAUAUUGAAAAUAUACUCAGUGAAGAAUCAUGCACAUAUUCACAUACGCUUAAACAUGCAAAUAAUUCACAUUGUCAUACACAUAUACUGAUAAUCUGAUGGGCGAACUGAGAGCCCCUGAACAUGUAUUUCAACAUGGCUAAAUUUCUGAACAUGUAUUUCUACAUGGCUGAACAUGUAUUUCAACAUGGCUGAUUUUC
rnacentral:lncRNA from 1 species